rnacentral:misc_RNA from 1 species
GAUGAAGAACGUAGCGAAAUGCGAUAAGUAAUGUGAAUUGCAGAAUUCAGUGAAUCAUCGAAUCUUUGAACGCACAUUGCGCCCGCCAGUAUUCUGGCGGGCAUGCCUGUUCGAGCGUCAUUUCAACCAUCAAGCCCCCGGCUUGUGUUGGGGACCUUCGGCUGCCGCAGGCCCUGAAAAGCAGUGGCGGGCUCGCUGUCACACCGAGCGUAGUAGCAUACAUCUCGCUCUGGGCGUGCUGCGGGUUCCGGCCGUUAAACCACCUUCAUAACCCAAGGUUGACCUCGGAUCAGGUAGGAAGACCCGCUGAACUUAAGCAUAUCAAUAAGCGGAGGA